rnacentral:rRNA from 1 species
UAGCAAUACUGAGCGAAGCUAGUGGCGAACGGGUGCGUAACACAUGAGUCAUCUGCCCAGAAGUGGGGAAUAGCUCGGCGAAAGCCGGAUUAAUACCGCAUGUGGUCGUAAGACCAAAGCCGGGGCAACCUGGCGCUUUUGGAGGAGCUCGUGGCCUAUCAGCUAGUUGGUGAGGUAACGGCUUACCAAGGCAACGACGGGUAGCUGGUCUGAGAGGACGACCAGCCACACUGGAACUGAGAUACGGUCCAGACACCUACGGGUGGCAGCAGUCGAGAAUUUUUCUCAAUGGGGGAAACCCUGAAGGAGCGACGCCGCGUGGAGGAUGAAUGCUUUCGGGUUGUAAACUCCUGUCAUUUGGGAACAAGGCCUUACGUUAACUGCGUGGAGGAUUGAUAGUACCAGAAGAGGAAGAGACGGCUAACUCUGUGCCAGCAGCCGCGGUAAUACAGAGGUCUCGAGCGUUGUUCGGAUUCAUUGGGCGUAAAGGGCGCGUAGGCGGCGGGGUAAGUCUGGUGUGAAAUCUAGGAGCUCAACUCCUAAACUGCACUGGAUACUGCUCUGCUAGAGGACUGGAGAGGAGACUGGAAUUCACGGUGUAGCA